GGGCCCGCACAAGCGGUGGAGCAUGUGGUUUAAUUCGAUGAUACGCGAGGAACCUUACCAGGGCUUAAAUGUAAGUUGCAUUAGUUAGAGAUAGCUAUUUCUUCGGACUACUUACAAGGUGCUGCAUGGUUGUCGUCAGCUCGUGCCGUGAGGUGUCAGGUUAAGUCCUAUAACGAGCGCAACCCCUAUCGUUAGUUGCCAGCGAGUAAUGUCGGGAACUCUAACGAAACUGCCAGUGCAAACUGUGAGGAAGGUGGGGAUGACGUCAAAUCAUCACGGCCCUUACGUCCUGGCUACACACGUGCUACAAUGGUCGGUACAGAGAGCAGCCACUACGCGAGUAGGAGCG
rnacentral:rRNA from 1 species